GCCACCACACUUUUCACUUUUACCCAGUAUGGAUGCUGACGAAUAGGACCAGCAUUCCCCACAUUCACUUCAAAUUCCAAGAUGGAUGUGCAACUAGGAACAUCCUGAGACAAAUGGAGAAAGCUAUUCAUCAACAAGAUAAGGUCAUCAGUUUGAUUAUUACUCAGAUGCUCCAUUUAAGAGGUUAACUUUUUCAGCAUUUCACACUGCUGUAACCUUUUGCGUACUGUAACUCCAACCUGUCCUCCUUGUCCUCCUCUAGGUCCCAACCAGGCUUCGCACCACAGCAGCCACACUGGCGACGGCUGGGCUGGAACGGCCUACCUGAGGAGCCAUUGGGAGAGUCACACCAUAAUACACUUUCAGCAUAGUAACAUGACACCCAACAGAAGGGGCGCCUACGAUCUGGGGUCUUUAUCACAUAACUGGCACCACUGUGUUUCUUUUCCGCAUGACAUAUCCCAGAGCAACAGGCCGACAGAGACAAGCCAGGGAUUCGCAACAAAACUAAAACCUGAUCCUCUGGUGUUAAAGAACAGCCAUCAGCCUUUAUUUCAUAAUGUCAUUUCCUGACAUUUCCUGCAUUUUUUGACACAAUGAGGCUUGUCUCCCGCAACUGACUGACAUAAAUAAAUACUAAAUUAAGGGUGCUACCUGGUGUCAGAGAUAAUAUUAGCUCCCACUGUGGGGGUUCUCCAAACCCAAGGUCAGCAGGGUUGAAUACUGAGGACUCUUGUAUUAUUUCCUUGAUAGCGAAUAGGACAAACGGCACCCCCUCAUUCUAAUUGGGGUUGGCAUUAAUACAAUACUUGACUAGCCCAGAGCCCGCCGAGGACUGGCCGCCUCGUCCAGCGGCACAAUCUCCGGUCCCGGCCUCUCCGCCUCCCCGGCCUGUCCCGGCCUCUCCGCCUCCCCUGUCUGGUCCGGCCGCUGUGCCGCCCUCUCCUGUCCCGGCCUCUCUGCCUGCCCGGCCUGUCCCGGCCUCUCCCGGCCUCUCCGCCUGCCCGGCCUCUCCCGGCCUCUCCGCCUGCCCGGCCUCUCCCGGCCUCUCCGCCUGCCCGGCCUCUCCCGGCCUCUCCGCCUGCCCGGCCUCUCCCGGCCUCUCCGCCUGCCCAGUCCCUGGUGGGCCCGGACAGCGACCAGUCUUCGGCGGGUUCUGGCGGAGGCAAAAACAGGGCAGCAGGGGGAACUGGCGGCGGCGACCUCUGGGCAGCGGGAGGACCUGGCGGCGGCGGCCACUGGACAGCGGGAAGACCUGGCGGCGGCGGCCACCACAUGUGAGCGUAGGCGGCAAGGGCUUGUCCUCCCACCCCUCCAGGGAUGGCAGCCGCACCUCAGGGUCCUCCGACCGCCCCCACAGCACCCCCCGAAAAACUGCUUGGGGCUGACUCACGGAGGGUUGAUUGCGUCGCCUCUCUUGACGUCUCCUCCGGGGUUGGCGCUGGGCUGGCCUAGUGUACAGCGGGGGACGGUAGGGGUUCUCCUCCUCCUCUGUAUUGCUGUCGGGCCAACAAAGGUGUUCCCCUACCGUCCAUCUCUGCCGUGUCUCUUGUAGGUGGUUAAUUCUGUCACAGUCGUUGUAGGUCCCAGGCACAGAGUCGAAAUAGAGGGUGUGAUCCAUGUUUAAUCAAAAAAGGGAAGGGAAGACAAAACAAAAGCAGCAACCAGUGAUGUGGGGUAACCAACGCAAGGACAAAAU
ensembl:lncRNA